GCAAAGGUGAAUUAUUUUUAAUAAUCUUCUAUGUAAACAUUUUAUUACCUUCUAGUUUUAAUUUGUUUUACAGAUUGUUACAAGUGAUUUUAUGCUCUUUUAAACAUUUAUAAAUGUGCUGCUUCUUUGUUUUUAUAGAGCUCACAGCCUCAGUGUCUUGUGACACAGGGACCAUGACAGAAAUUCAUCUUCCAGAAGGUCCCAGAGCAUCCACACCCCCUGAAAAGACCACGGUGUGAGGUGUCUGCUGUUGAUUCCAGCUUCCACCUCAGUGACAGUGCAAGCUCAGUGAACUGUUCAAGGAGGCUACUGAUUCUGGCCCUGUGACACUUGGUGGUCACCACCAGGUGGUGACGUGUGAGCUGAUUCACCUGGACACUCAGCAAAAUAUGGACUCUACACCAUGAGGCAGGCACACGUUAAUAACUCUAUAAGAGUACAUAAGCCUGGCUGAUCACCUGAUAACUCAUGUUAUCUGGUUAUGACAGCAUGAGGAUGUCCUCACACACCUGUAACCUACCAGCUCAUCUGGCAGAAUAGAGAGAGAAGAGACAACACCACAUCUCCUGUUCCUGGAAAGCCUUCAGCCAUCCUUCGAUGACUGAGAACCUCCAUCAGCUCUGUCUCCUGUCUGCCUACAAUUAUUAUAAUAAAUAUUGUGUUUGACAAGUU